rnacentral:rRNA from 1 species
AAAGAUUAAGCCAUGCAUGUCUAAGUAUAAGCAAUCUAUACGGUGAAACUGCGAAUGGCUCAUUAAAUCAGUUAUCGUUUAUUUGAUAGUACCUUACUACUUGGAUAACCGUGGUAAUUCUAGAGCUAAUACAUGCUAAAAAGCCCCGACUUCGGAAGGGGUGUAUUUAUUAGAUAAAAAACCAAUGCCCUUCGGGGCUCCUUGGUGAUUCAUAAUAACUUAACGAAUCGCAUGGCCUUGUGCCGGCGAUGGUUCAUUCAAAUUUCUGCCCUAUCAACUUUCGAUGGUAGAGUCGUGGUCUACCAUGGUUU